rnacentral:tRNA from 1 species
GCUCUGGUGGUCUAGUGGUUAUGAUGCUCGCUUCCCAUCAUGGUGUCAGCGGGCGAGCCGAGUUCGAUUCUCGGUCAGAGCA